rnacentral:rRNA from 1 species
UACGUAGGGGGCAAGCGUUGUCCGGAUUUAUUGGGCGUAAAGAGCGUGUAGGCGGCCAGACAGGUCCGCUGUGAAAACUCGAGGCUCAACCUCGAGAUGUCGGUGGAAACCGUCUGGCGAGAGUCCGGAAGAGGAGAGUGGAAUUCCCGGUGUAGCGGUGAAAUGCGCAGAUAUCGGGAAGAACACCCGUGGCGAAGGCGGCUCUCUGGGACGGUACUGACGCUGAGACGCGAAAGCGUGGGGAGCGAACAGG